AUACGCUAGGCAUGUCUGAGGAGUUACAGUCGAAGUCAUUGAAGUGUUUACACACUGAAGCUUUCCGCAACUGCGAACUCCUUAAAUGUAGAAAUCUCGACUGCAUCAUUUGUGGUAGUGGGGGACUGCGUACACGCUCUCCCCUG